CCAGCAGUUAGCUGCACCACUAGCAGCUGCACUACCAGCACCACCAGCUGCUGCACCAGCAGCCAGACCAGCUCAACCGCCGGCAGACCAGCGACCAGCAAGCAGUAGACCAGGAACCAGCAGACCAGCAACCGGACAAUGCAGGUGUACCUGAGGACAGAGACUGUUUAAGAUUCGUCCUGUUCUCUACCAUAUCAAGCACACCUGCUGCCAGCUCUACAAUCCGGGCCAGAACAUUUGUAUAGACGAACGAAUGCUCAGGUUUAAAUAUCUGGUAUGAAACAGCACAUGCCCAAGAAACCCAUCAAAUGGGAGUGAAAGCUAUGGGUCCCAGCAACAUCAUGCGACCCAAACUUCCCCUUGGGAGGCGGCUACAUUGUUGAUUUUGACGUAUACCUUGGCUCUCAGGAAGGUGCCACCGAGGAAGGCUUGACCUCCAGGGUUGUCAUGGAGCUCCUGCAACCCCACACACGUGACGCUCCAGCAAGGUCUCUCGGCAAAGGUUACCAUCUAUACCUUGACGACUAUUAUUUAUCAAAACAACUUUUUGAAAAGCUGAGAGACAUACACAUAUACGCAGCUGGCACAAUACUUCGAUUAAGACGUGGUUUUCCACCCCAGCUGAAGGGCAAAUUGUGCCUGGAGGUGGACCAGGGAGGGACAGUGCCUCUAUGUAGUCUGGAAAGAUAGCGUGGAUUGUGCCUUGCUCACUACCAUACACACUGGUACGUAUGAUGGCAACAUCGUGGAUCGUAGGAGCAAGGCCACUGGGGGUUCAGCAAAGGAAGUGCCAGCACCUCCAGUCAUUCCAGACUACAACAAGCUCAUGGGAGGUGUCAACCUCUUCGACCAGAUGAAGAGCUAUGCGGUCUGGAGGAAGAUUUUCUGUUGACCUAUAGUUUACCUCCUCAACCUCCUUGAGACCGCUACCACCAAUUUGUACAUCUUAUAUAGAAGCUGUACAGACAACAAGAUCACUCAUAAAAAUUUCAUUCUGAAGCUGGUCGAAGAGUUAGUUGCUGGUCUAAGUGCCAGCAACGAGUACCAGGCUCAGGGCGCUGGAGGGCAAUCUGGCAACGUCGCUGCGGCCCCUGACUACGUCAGGACGACUGUGUAUUGUAUGUAGGUUACUGGAGAACCAUCGAACAUGUAUUUAUAUCUGUUGUGUAGAUUGUGGUAUUUUUUAUGUUUUACUGGUCAGAGAAAUUGUAUUAAGGUUUAUCAUCAGUAUAGUAUGUUAGGUGAAUGAUGUAGACUAGAGGUAAGUAGAUUAGCUAGAACGUGAAAGGCUGGAGGAUUCUAUUUUUAUAUAUCAAGAAGAAUUAAUGUAAAUAGUUGUAUAUGGUUGUAGUUAUGAUGUGGUAAUCACAGUCUUGGCUUGAAGGA